rnacentral:rRNA from 1 species
UGAACGCUGGCGGCAUGCCUUACACAUGCAAGUCGAACGCGAAAGGGGGGCAACCCCCGAGUAGAGUGGCGAACGGGUGAGUAAUACAUCGGAACGUGCCCAGUAGCGGGGGAUAACCUCUCGAAAGAGAGGCUAAUACCGCAUACGACCUACGGGUGAAAGAGGGGGAUCGCAAGACCUCUCACUAUUGGAGCGGCCGAUGUCGGAUUAGCUAGUUGGUGGGGUAAAGGCCCACCAAGGCGACGAUCCGUAGCUGGUCUGAGAGGACGACCAGCCACACUGGAACUGAGACACGGUCCAGACUCCUACGGGAGGCAGCAGUGGGGAAUUUUGGACAAUGGGCGCAAGCCUGAUCCAGCCAUGCCGCGUGAGUGAAGAAGGCCUUCGGGUUGUAAAGCUCUUUCGACAGGGACGAAGCGCAAGUGACGGUACCUGGAGAAGAAGCGCCGGCCAACUACGUGCCAGCAGCCGCGGUAAGACGUAGGGCACGAGCGUUGUCCGGAUUUAUUGGGCGUAAAGAGCUCGUAGGCGGCUUGUCGCGUCGACUGUGAAAACCCGCGGCUCAACCGUGUGGCUUGCAGUUGAUACGGGCAGGCUAGAGUUCGGUAGGGGAGACUGGAAUUCCUGGUGUAGCGGUGAAAUGCGCAGAUAUCAGGAGGAACACCGGUGGCGAAGGCGGGUCUCUGGGCCGAUACUGACGCUGAGGAGCGAAAGCGUGGGGAGCGAACAGGAUUAGAUACCCUGGUAGUCCACGCUGUAAACGUUGGGCGCUAGGUGUGGGGGGCCUCUCCGGUUCUCUGUGCCGCAGCUAACGCAUUAAGCGCCCCGCCUGGGGAGUACGGCCGCAAGGCUAAAACUCAAAGGAAUUGACGGGGGCCCGCACAAGCGGCGGAGCAUGCGGAUUAAUUCGAUGCGACGCGAAGAACCUUACCUGGGUUUGACAUGGCCGUUAAAGCCUCAGGGAUGGGGUGUCCUUCGGGGGCGGUCACAGGUGGUGCAUGGCUGUCGUCAGCUCGUGUCGUGAGAUGUUGGGUUAAGUCCCGCAACGAGCGCAACCCUCGUUCCAUGUUGCCAGCGCGUUAUGGCGGGGACUCAUGGGAGACUGCCGGGGUCAACUCGGAGGAAGGUGGGGAUGACGUCAAGUCAUCAUGCCCCUUAUGUCCAGGGCUUCACGCAUGCUACAAUGGCCGGUACAAAGGGCUGCGAUACCGUGAGGUGGAGCGAAUCCCAAAAAGCCGGUCUCAGUUCGGAUCGGGGUCUGCAACUCGACCCCGUGAAGUCGGAGUCGCUAGUAAUCGCAGAUCAGCAACG